UAAAUAAUGAAAAGUGUUGCUCAGACCUUGUCCCCUGGACCUUGGAGGACUUUCGGCGCAGAUGACAAGUAUGCGUUUUAUGUGGCGAU